rnacentral:rRNA from 1 species
CCUAGGGAGGCUGCAGUGAGGAAUAUUGGUCAAUGGGCGCGAGCCUGAACCAGCCAAGUCGCGUGAGGGAGGACGGCCCUACGGGUUGUAAACCUCUUUUGCCGGGGAGCAACGGGCGUCACGUGUGGCGCCACUGAGAGUACCCGGAGAAAAAGCAUCGGCUAACUCCGUGCCAGCAGCCGCGGUAAUACGGAGGAUGCGAGCGUUAUCCGGAUUUAUUGGGUUUAAAGGGAGCGUAGAUGGGUUGUUAAGUCAGUUGUGAAAGUUUGCGGCUCAACCGUAAAAUUGCAAUUGAUACUGGCAGCCUUGCGUACAGUUGAGGUAGGCGGAAUGCGUGGUGUAGCGGUGAAAUGCUUAGAUAUCACGAAGAACUCCGAUUGCGAAGGUAGCCUACUAAACUGCCACUGACGCUGAGGCACGAAAGUGCGGGGAUCGAACAGGAUUAGAUACCCGGGUAGUC